GAAAAGGAAACUAAGCAUUACUUAGAAUUGUUUUUGAUAUAGACUACGCCCUUCUAACCUUGAUUGAUGUCAGGGUAACACGAAGCAGAAUAAGAUGACUCUCUAUGUUCAAGGCUAGAUAUAAAGUUGCUUGAAAGGCAUUUAAGAUGGCACCUUUUCUACAGAAGAUGGAACAAACUUGACAAUUUUGUCCUCCUAAUGGCAAUCUAU
rnacentral:lncRNA from 1 species